rnacentral:rRNA from 1 species
CCUACGGGUGGCUGCAGUGGGGAAUAUUGGACAAUGGGGGGAACCCUGAUCCAGCCAUGCCGCGUGUGUGAAGAAGGCCCUCGGGUUGUAAAGCACUUUCAGUGAGGAAGAACGCCUGGUGGUUAAUACCCAUCAGGAAAGACAUCACUCACAGAAGAAGCACCGGCUAACUCCGUGCCAGCAGCCGCGGUAAUACGGAGGGUGCGAGCGUUAAUCAGAAUUACUGGGCGUAAAGCGCGCGUAGGUGGCUUGAUAAGCCGGUUGUGAAAGCCCCGGGCUCAACCUGGGAACGGCAUCCGGAACUGUCAAGCUAGAGUGCAGGAGAGGAAGGUAGAAUUCCCGGUGUAGCGGUGAAAUGCGUAGAGAUCGGGAGGAAUACCAGUGGCGAAGGCGGCCUUCUGGACUGACACUGACACUGAGGUGCGAAAGCGUGGGUAGCAAACAGGAUUAGAUACCCGGGUAGUC